rnacentral:rRNA from 1 species
GGUCAACUCGGAGGAAGGUGGGGAUGACGUCAAAUCAUCAUGCCCCUUAUGUCUUGGGCUUCACGCAUGCUACAAUGGCCGGUACAAAGGGCUGCGAUACCGUAAGGUGGAGCGAAUCCCAAAAAGCCGGUCUCAGUUCGGAUUGAGGUCUGCAACUCGACCUCAUGAAGUCGGAGUCGCUAGUAAUCGCAGAUCAGCAACGCUGCGGUGAAUACGUUCCCGGGGCUUGUACACACCGCCCGUCAA